rnacentral:rRNA from 1 species
AUUGAACGCUGGCGGCAGGCCUAACACAUGCCAGUCGAGCGGAUGAAGGGAGCUUGCUCCUGGAUUCAGCGGCGGACGGGUGAGUAAUGCCUAGGAAUCUGCCUGGUAGUGGGGGAUAACGUCCGGAAACGGGCGCUAAUACCGCAUACGCCCUGAGGGAGAAAGUGGGGGAUCUUCGGACCUCACGCUAUCAGAUGAGCCUAGGUCGGAUUAGCUAGUUGGUGGGGUAAAGGCCUACCAAGGCGACGAUCCGUAACUGGUCUGAGAGGAUGAUCAGUCACACUGGAACUGAGACACGGUCCAGACUCCUACGGGAGGCAGCAGUGGGGAAUAUUGGACAAUGGGCGAAAGCCUGAUCCAGCCAUGCCGCGUGUGUGAAGAAGGUCUUCGGAUUGUAAAGCACUUUAAGUUGGGAGGAAGGGCAGUAAGUUAAUACCUUGCUGUUUUGACGUUACCAACAGAAUAAGCACCGGCUAACUUCGUG